rnacentral:rRNA from 1 species
UACGUAGGGGGCGAGCGUUGUCCGGAAUUACUGGGCGUAAAGCGCGCGCAGGCGGCCUGUUAAGUCAGGUGUCAAAAUGCGGGGCUCAACCCCGUAUCGCACUUGAAACUGGCAGGCUUGAGUGCAGGAGAGGGAAGUGGAAUUCCUAGUGUAGCGGUGAAAUGCGUAGAUAUUAGGAGGAACACCAGUGGCGAAGGCGACUUCCUGGACUGUAACUGACGCUCAGGCGCGAAAGCUAGGGGAGCAAACAGG